UGGGAGCGGAAUCAGUGAACUAGGCCUGGCGCGCUCCUGGAUCCCUCGGGCUUUGCCCGCAGCCUCCGGCAGAGACUCGAGAAAUUCACACAGCCAAUAAUGAAACUGAUGCUGAGACUGAAACAGCACAAGCUUUGUUGAAUGGCCGUUCAGUGGCUGAGAAUGGAAGUGGAAACUUAGUUCACAAAUCAACUUCUCCUCAGGGAGGAUCAGGGCAAGAUUUUUAAAGGGCACGUGGGUUCGAGCUCUGGUCCGGGAAGAUCCUACAU